GACUAAACUUCCCUUCUUCAAUUUAAGACAACGUCCUUGGAGCUGGUUUUCCAACUUCUUUUAAAAGAAUCUUGGAUUGGACUGUGUGGAGAAAUCGAAAAAGAAAUAUCAUAAGAGAAAUUGAGGGUAAUUCUCCAUAUCCAGGAAAAGACUGCUGGGUACACAUCAGUAGAGAAUCACCAAAGAAAGGUAAGAAAAAAAGAUGUUCCUUGGGGAGAAAAAGUCAGCCUUGUUAUUUUGUUAUAGUCUAUUGGUUUGAGCUCUGGAGAAGUGACUACAUGCAUUUCCUCCCUAGGACUGUUCAGUGAGGAUUUAACUGCAAAGAUCCCCAUCUUUCCCCUGGGCUUUUCGAUCUUUCUAGUGUCACUGAAAGAGCAUCCUCUUCCACCUGUGUUUACUGUGGUGAGAACUCCUCACCUAUACUUAGUUCCAAAAGGAAGUCAUUUCUGAGACACCCAUUAGUGGAGGACAAAGACAAAUUGAAAAAGAAACUGAAAAGCUUAUGACAUGCAGUCAUGUCUGUGUUGAAAACAAAAUAAAAAGGGAAAAAGUCACA
rnacentral:lncRNA from 1 species